rnacentral:misc_RNA from 1 species
AGGUGGAUCUUUGAACAUUCGGCAAAGGUUUUGGUGUUGGAUUCCGAGCGUAAGCGAGGAAUCCAACAACAAGACGUGCGCUUGGAUCUCUUCCUUGUCUUUGUUCCCCUGUACAAACACGGGAACAAUGUCCGUUUUAACCACCCCUUACCCCCCCUAAAACAUACCUAUUUUAUCCGUCUUAUCUACCUGUUUCCGGACGUCAAACCCCCGGUCAACAAAACACGAUACGACUCGAGACAAUGGAUAUCUUGGUUCUCGCAACGAUGAAGAACGCAGCGAAAUGCGAAACGUAAUGCGAUUUGCAGCACUCCGCGAGUCAUUGAAUCUUUGAACGCAUAUGGCACUUUCCUGUCAGGGAGAGUACGUUUUUCUGAGUAUCGGUUCACUUCUCUACUACAUUCUUAUGGUGUGGUGGGAGACUGCGCGUGCACUUUUAAAAGUGCUUGCGUGAAACACUUGUUGGCCCUGCGCCGGUGCAACUUUCCAACCUAGUUGGUUUGGGAAGCUCGCAGCGGACAAAGGAUACACGGCUCUCGGAAUUCCUUAUAAGAAUCCCGAGGUCGUAUCUUUUUGUCUCGCUCGCUUCCCUCUCUUCCAAAUAGCCGCUGGGCACCUACGCAAUCCACACACAUCCAACACAACGAUACACCCUCUUCCUUAUUCUUUGAUAAACAACAAAGAAUAAUAACAUAGGAUCUCAGAUAAAACGAGACUACCGCCUCAACUUAAGCAUAUUAUUCAGGCGAGGAAAAGAAACUAACAAGGAUCUCUCUAGUAACGGCGAGUGAAGCGGGGAGAGCUCACAUUGAGAAUCUCGAGAGGCCUUGCGCCUUUUGCGAAUUGUGGUCUGGAGACAGGCUGUCACGGUGGCGGAUCGACCCAAGUCCUCUGGAAGGAGAGCAUCGGAGAGGGUGAGAAUCCCGUAUCUGGUCGAUUUUGAUAACCAGCCCCGGUACGACGUUUGUUCAGAGAGUCGUGUUGCUUGGGACUGCAGCACAAAGCGGGAGGUGCAAGACUUCCAAAGCUAAAUACAGGCGAGAGACCGAUAGUGAACAAGUACCGUGAGGGAAAGAUGCAAAGCACUUGGAAACGAGAGUGAAACAGAGCUUGAAAUUGUCUGGAGAGAAGAGUUGGGAGGAGUAUCUUAGUGGUGUGUGUUUUGACCCGUGUGGUUUUUUUAUGGGUGGUGUCGAGAGGGUGUGAAAGCUCCUCGGUGCUGUUUACAAUAGGAAAAUCCGCGGGGUGCGAACGCAUGUCCACCGUUAGCAAGGCUUUCUUGUCCACCAGGCUUCCACCCGCGCGCAGGGUAUCUUUGACCGCCCCGGAUAGGGAACGGUUCAACAAAGACGUAGAGGCGCGCGUGCGUGCGUUGUCCCAGGGGAGCUUUGCGAGCCGGAAUACGGCUCGGUCCGCGAGGGAUUCGCGAGGCGCGUGCGUUCCGGUGCGAUGUGCUGGGGAGGGUGCUUUGCUACUUGCCCCCUGCGCACUGGAACACGGCGUGUCCGCUCGAGUCGAACGCGUGAAUUUGCUGACGAAACAACUUUGUGGAAUGCCCCUCAUCUACCCGUCUUGAAACACGGACCAAGGAGUCUAACGCCUAUGCGAGGAUGCGGCCGUUUGAAAGCCAUGUACAAAGUAUCCGCAGUGAAAGCAAAGUCUCUUUUCGGAAGAGCAAAGGUGGGAAGGGCGCUAUUUGUCCCGGCACCAUCGACCGACCAGAAUUGGUCCCCGUUUUGUGCCCGUCAAAAAGGUACAGAGCCCAGGGACGCAGUGGUUUGAGUAGAAGCAUAGUUGUUGGGACCCGAAAGAUGGUGAUCUAUUCCUGAACAGGGCGAAGCCAGGGGAAACCCUGGUGGAGGUCCGCAGCGGUACUGACGUGCAAAUCGUUCGUCGGAUUUGGGUAUAGGGGCGAAAGACUAAUCGAACCAUCUGGUAGCUGGUUCCCUC